rnacentral:rRNA from 1 species
CACUCCUACGGGAGGCAGCAGUGGGGAAUAUUGCACAAUGGGCGCAAGCCUGAUGCAGCCAUGCCGCGUGUAUGAAGAAGGCCUUCGGGUUGUAAAGUACUUUCAGCGGGGAGGAAGGUGUUGAGGUUAAUAACCUCAGCAAUUGACGUUACCCGCAGAAGAAGCACCGGCUAACUCCGUGCCAGCAGCCGCGGUAAUACGGAGGGUGCAAGCGUUAAUCGGAAUUACUGGGCGUAAAGCGCACGCAGGCGGUCUGUCAAGUCGGAUGUGAAAUCCCCGGGCUCAACCUGGGAACUGCAUUCGAAACUGGCAGGCUAGAGUCUUGUAGAGGGGGGUAGAAUUCCAGGUGUAGCGGUGAAAUGCGUAGAGAUCUGGAGGAAUACCGGUGGCGAAGGCGGCCCCCUGGACAAAGACUGACGCUCAGGUGCGAAAGCGUGGGGAGCAAACAGGAUUAGAUACCCGGGUAGUCCC